rnacentral:rRNA from 1 species
AUUGAACGCUGGCGGCAUGCCUUACACAUGCAAGUCGAACGGCAGCACGGGUGCUUGCACCUGGUGGCGAGUGGCGAACGGGUGAGUAAUACAUCGGAACGUACCUUAUCGGGGGGGAUAACGCAGCGAAAGCUGUGCUAAUACCGCAUACGCCCUGAGGGGGAAAGCGGGGGAUCGCAAGACCUCGCGCGAUUAGAGCGGCCGAUGCCUGAUUAGCUUGUUGGUGGGGUAAAAGCCCACCAAGGGGACGAUCAGUAGCUGGUCUGAGAGGACGAUCAGCCACACUGGGACUGAGAUACGGCCCAGACUCCUACGGGAGGCAGCAGUGGGGAAUUUUGGACAAUGGGGGCAACCCUGAUCCAGCAAUGCCGCGUGAGUGAAGAAGGCCUUCGGGUUGUAAAGCUCUUUUGUCAGGGAAGAAACACCGGCUCUAACACAGUCCGGGAAUGACGGUACCUGAAGAAUAAGCACCGGCUAACUACGUGCCAGCCGCCGCGGUAA